GCUAACCAGACAGCGGAUAGACGUGCAGCAGCAAGGAUCUUGUGAGAUAAGCUUUUUAUUUUUUAUUUCCCUUUGAAUAUAAAUCUUACCAAAAGCUUAAAUUACUACCAGCAAAAACUAUUUUGUAUAGAUUAGCAUAGCAGACUUCGGUGGUUUGCAGCCUCUGGUUUUACCCGAACCCCUUCUGUUGUCAUUCAAAACACGUCAGAGAAAAUGGCGGAACUUGAAAAAGACGCAGUACUACCCCAACCAAUGCAGGAGAACCGAGAUGAAGAGGAGCCGGGCAAUUCCAUGGAUUUUCCAAAAAACGUAAAUAUCUACUCCAAAGUAAGAUUCAAAGAUGUCUGCAGAAAGACGGCAUGUUUUUGAACUACCGCAGAGGAGAUGGACACCUCAGAAGACCUGCAAGAUGACAACCUGAUCAAGCGGGACCUCUUCCACAGUUCUAAUAAUAAGCAGCAGGAUGGACAUUUGGCAGUUAGGAGGAAUGUUAUAUUAGAACGAACAAAAUUCAACCAAAGACAACAGGAAGCAGGAGAGACAGCUGAUGAUUUUAUCUCUGCACUUCAUUGUUUGUCAGAACAUUGUGGUUAUGGAGCUCUGCUCAGUGAGAUGAUAAGAGACCGAGUAGUCGCAGGCUUACAUGACAGAAGAUUGUCCAAGCAAUUACAAAUUGACCCAGAACUAACACUGGAUAAAGCUGUCACACGCAUUCGUCAAACUGAACUUGUGAAAAAGCCACAGGACCUGCCAGAGUAUGCCUUCAAAGCUGCCAGCAGUGCAGCAAAUGUAGAGAGUGUGCUUUCACAUAGCAAACAGCAAUGCCCAGCCAAUGUCCAGUGCCAAUCAGAGAAGAAUCAAAACUCAGAAAGACCACAACAACCUCAAACAACGCAGGAGAAUGCAGAAGAUCUCCUAGAUACUAAUGACACUAAUGGCUUCAGUCCUGGAGGAGAAAAGCCUCACUACUGCGCCUACUGUGGUAGGAGCUUUCAAAAAGUAAGGGAUCUUAUAAGACACCAGCGAACACAUACUGGAGAGAAGCCUCACAACUGCUCUGAUUGCAACAGAAGUUUUGCUCGAUUAGAUAAUCUCAAGUCACACCAAAAAAUACACGUGAAAGACAAACAUCAUUUUCACUCCACUAAAUGUGUGGAAAGCUUUGUCCUAUUGGAGAAGCUUGAAAAACACCUGCUGGAGAAUACCUUCAAAGCUACCAGCAGUCCAGCAAAUGUAGACAGUGUGCCUGAACUUGGUAAAAAUCAGCACCCAGAAAGACAACUGCCCCAAACAACCCUGGAGAACAGAGAGAAGCCUCAUCAUGAUACUUCCGAUGACCCUAUUGUGAGUUCUAAUGGAGGUGAGAGGCGUCAUCCCUGCUCCGACUGUGGGAAGAACUUUAUACGAGUUUAUCAUCUUAAAAGACACCAACGAACACAUACGGGAGAGAAGCCUCAUCGCUGCUCUGAUUGUGGCAAAAGUUAUUCUCAGUCGUAUGAUCUGAAAAUACACCACCAGCGAAAGCAUAUGAAAGGGAAAUACUUCCACUGCAAUCAUUGUGAAGAAUGUUUCUCCAAACCAGAGGAUCUGAACACACACAUGCAUGUACAUGCUGGAGAAAAGCCAUACCUUUGCCCAGACUGUGGGAAGAGAUUCCAGUUGUUAAAUGCAUUUGAAAUGCACCAACAAAAACAUACUUUGGGGCUUCUUGAGUGCUCUUAUUGUGGUAAAAGUUUUUCUAAGGUGGAUAAACUUAAACUACACCAGCGAACGCAUACGGGAGAGAAACAUUUUCGCUGCCCUGAUUGUGGGAAAAGUUUUACCCGCUCGGAUCUUCUGAAAAGUCACCAGAGGACACAUAAGAAAGAGGGUGAUUGUCCUAACUGUGAUAAGAGCUUUUCUGAACCAGUAGACCUAAAAAUACACAUGGAAGUACAUAGUCAAGAAAGGCCUCACCUUUGCCCCGACUGUGGGAAGAGAUUCAAACUGUUAUGGUCGUUGAAAAAGCACCAGCGGAAACACACAGAGAAGAUCUCACCAAGGGAAAAGCGUCACCACUGUUCCGACUGCGAUAAGAGUUUUACGCGCGGAUAUCAUCUUAAAAGACAUCGGGAAACACACACAGGAGAAAAGCCUUACCACUGCUCUAAUUGUGACAAAAGCUUUGCAGGAAAGGAGAGGCUUAAACAACAUCAAGUAACACACAAGGAAAAGAAACGUCACCGCUGUUCAAGGUGUGAUAAAAGAUUUCCUGACAUGGCAAAACUACGAUCACACCUUCCAGUACAUUCCGUAGAACUGGCACUCCACUGUUCUGACUGUGGAAAGUAUUUCUUAAACAAGGCAAAGUUUGAAAGACACCAAAAAAUACACACUGGAAGUGGAAAAAUACCAUUCCUCUGCACUGACUGCGGGGAGGGUUUUACAAAUUUGCGUCAGUUGGAAGACCACCAGCGAACACACACUGGGGAGAAACCGUACUGCUGCACUGAUUGUGGGAAGAGUUUUGCACAUGAAAAAACAUUUAAGUGUCACAAGCAAGCGCACAAGUUCAAACUUUCUGGAGAAAGAGCAGCCUAUCCUUGCUCGGAAUGUGGAAAUACUUUUUCUCGUUCAUGUGAUGUGAUGAGUCAUGUGAGAAGGGUGCAUAAUAAAGAGAGACCUUUUCAGUGCUCCUGCUGUGGAAAAAGAUUUUUCCAAAAGAACUCACUCAC